GUCGGGCUUCGACGCGGAGCAAAGAACAGGCGACAGUGUGCUUUUUUUUUUUUUUUUUCUCCCUUUCUUCGUGUGAAUGUGUGUGUGUUAGAGUAGAAGGGGGGAGAAACUUGGAGCGCGUCCACGCCGGCCGCAAUCAUAAUCUUCAACUUUUGUUUCCCUCCAACUUGUGGACCGGAGGACUCAGCCAAGGACUCAAAUGCCAAAUUGAGGUUUUUUGGUAAGUUUACCUUAUUCUCUCUUAAAGUAUUGUAAUCAUGUCCAUCACGAAAUGUAGUAAUUUUCUUCUUCUUCUUAUCGAACAACAAAGAGGAGGCGGGCAGAAGCGGGGUGGAGCUGCUUUGCCUCCCGUUAUUCUCGGGUCGAAAGUGGAUCCAGUCCUGGGUGAAUUAUUGUCAUGCGUAAUUUACUGCCACGGUGCUUGCAUGUAAACGAAGCAGUCCAGCACCCUCUCUCUCCCUGUCUCUCACUCUCACACACACUCUCUCUCUCCUCUCUCUCUCUCUCUCUCACACACACACACACACACACACACACGCACGCGCACACACACCUGAACCGUAGCUCCAGCUCUGUGUCCCAUUCAUCCAAGCGAGCCUGAAGUGGCACCUCUCGCCUUUUUUACGCACACAGGCUCUGCUACGUGGGGCCGCAUAUUCACCGUGAAAACGGAUUACAGUCGGUGUGUGAUCUAUAGGGGGACCUUGUGCUUAAUGAAUAUAUUGAUUUAAAUGAGGGGAGGGGGUACCAAAAACAACAUAUGCAUGAAUUCAUAAUUUGUACUCGAUUUUUUGAUUGUUAAUUUAAGAUUAAAAGUGCAAAAUGUUGAUGCACAGUUGUCAGUGUGAUAAAAUUAAUUCUGAGAAAAAAAUGAUUGUUUAUAAUGUUUUGGGGAAAUUGUUAUUUAUGAGAUGAACUGUCAACUAAAGCAGGCUGACAGAUUUGUAAUUAUUUCCAAAUCAUUUCUAAUGCAUUUUGGUUAUUUUUAAAUGCAUUGCUCGAUGUUGAUCUCUCCUCUGUGUUUGUAUUUUUUUCUCUAAAUAAAAAUGUGAAGCUUUCGCAGCACA